ensembl:snRNA U6 U6 spliceosomal RNA
GUGCUCACUUUGGCAACACACACACUAAAACUGGAACGAUACAGAGAUUAGCAUGGCCCUUGUGCGAGGACAACAUGUAAAUUUGUGAAGUGUUCUAUAUUUUU